UACGUAGGGUGCAAGCGUUGUCCGGAAUUAUUGGGCGUAAAGAGCGUGUAGGCGGCCCGGUUAGUCCGCUGUGAAAGUCCAGGGCUCAACCCUGGAAUGCCGGUGGAUACUGUCGGGCUAGAGUCCGGAAGGGGCGAGUGGAAUUCCUGGUGUAGCGGUGAAAUGCGCAGAUAUCAGGAGGAACACCGAUGGCGAAGGCAGGUCUCUGGGCAUUAACUGACGCUGAGGAGCGAAAGCAUGGGAGCGAACAGG
rnacentral:rRNA from 1 species